UACGGAGGAUGCGAGCGUUAUCCGGAUUUAUUGGGUUUAAAGGGUGCGUAGGUGGCCUUGUAAGUCAGCGGUGAAAGUUUGUCGCUCAACGAUAAAAUUGCCGUUGAAACUGCUUGGCUUGAGUGUAAAUGAAGUAGGCGGAAUGCGUGGUGUAGCGGUGAAAUGCAUAGAGAUCACGCAGAACUCCAAUUGCGAAGGCAGCUUACUAAGCUACAACUGACACUGAAGCACGAAAGCGUGGGUAUCAAACAGG
rnacentral:rRNA from 1 species